CCCCCCCCCAGACAGCAAUCAGCCAGGCUUUGAAGCUAAAAGGCCAUUAAGUGCUAAUCAAGGUGGCCAACUGCAACUUUUCCUCAGCUUCAGAGGAAAGCAAAAACAAUCCCUCAUCUGAACAAAUCUUGAAAAGCAAAACCCAUCAUAGGUUUGUUUUAGUCACGCCUGAUCAGCCAAGAAAGCUCAUUGAGUGAUCUUGGGUAAAUUACACUCUCUCAGCCUCACAGGAAGGCAAAAGUAAAUCCCUCUGAACAAAUCUUGCCAACAAGACCCCCAUGGUAAGGCCACCUUUGAUCAACUUAGGUCAGAAAUGACUUGAAAUCAUACAACAGUGACACAGAGACUACGUUUCUGCAAUAUCUCCUGACAUUUAUCAAGGUUUGGAAAGAUUGCAUGAUAAAACUAGUGGUUUUACAAUAUUUAUUCUAGCUGUGACAUCAGGGACAGAAGAUCUGGAUGAAGAUGCUGCCAAAGAUAAAAGUUCCACGUUGGUAAACCUACAUCUGAAGAACGUAACUGUAAAUAUUGCGAACAUUAUUGGCUCAUGCCCUUUUCUAUAAUCAAAAUGUUGCUCUAAUACUGAUAAUCCUGCAUAUUGGAUUUUAGCAGUGAGGAACCAAUGUUGCUCAUGAUCCUUCUGUAUUAUGAUUAACCAUAACAGUAAAAAGGUUCCAGUUCAUGUCUCAUGAUGAUGACAGCAAAAUCUCCAAGAGGAAAAGAGCAUCAGUUAUCCUGACUGAUAUCUCUCAUGUUUUACUGGUCCUCACUCAGCCUUGCUGAAGUUAAAAGGACAUUUGAAUCACAACAUCGCCAUCUGGAUUUCUGGCAAGACCAGGAAAGCUUAGCACAGCACAGUCAGCUGUUGAGUGUUUUUGUUGCUGAAGUCAGGUGGUAAAAAUAGAGGGACAGAACACACUAUCUACUUCUCCUUUGACAGCAAAAUGUUUUGGACUGACCCUGCUCAUGAAUGAACUACAGGACUUCAGCAGAAAAUUCCACACCAACUACAAAUCCCAUGAUCCCAGAGGAUGUAGCAGUUAUUAAUAUGUUUUCAGUUCCUUGUUUUAUUGUUUAAAUGUAAUUACAUUUUAUGAUUUACUUGAUUGUUUUAUGCUACCGUUGUGUUUUGUUAGGUUUUCAUGUUUUGAAAAGCAUUGAAUUUUGCUGUGAAUGUGUUGGAAACCUCUUUGAGUCCCCCCCAGGGCUGAGAAAAGCAUUAUAUAAAUGAAGUAAAUAAAAAAUAAAUAAAUUAAAGUGGUAUCAAAUAACUAGAACAAUAUAGUGUAGAUCAAAUUAUAGUUAGGCAUAUCUUCCCUAACCAUAGAUUUUCAUUUUGAUCUAGCACACUGCAUAAUAGCAACCUCAAUAUUAUCACCUGAAAUGCAUCAUUUGAUGGUGCCUCCUGAUGUAAAAAUAAUGAAUGUUCCCUGGAUUGCUGUGAGUUUUCUGGGCUGUAUGGUCAUGUUCCAGAAGCAUUCUCUCCUGAUGUCUCACAACCUCUGAGGACGCCUGCCAUAGAUAUCGGCAAAACUUCAGGCGAGAAUGCUUCUGGAACAUGACCAUACAGCCUGGAAAACUCACAGAAACUCAGUGAUUCCAGCCAUGAAAGCUUCCAACAACACAAUGAAUGUCCCCAUUGUUAAUUAUAAAAUGAGUCUAGAGGAAUAUCUAGGUUUUUGUGUGUUGUAAAAGACUAGACAUUCUAAGAUGUUUCAUUAAAGGGGGUGAAACUGCUAACAAUCCUGUUCAGGGAUUACUCUUAAAAUGUUCCACCUUCAUGUUUUUCUAUCUUGCUUUGAGGCAAUUUUAAAUGCAUAUUAGAUGGACCAUUAAAAAGUUGACAGUAAACAAUAAUAUAAUAGAAGUGCUGCAAAAAAUUGCCCCUUCAUUUCAUGGAAUCUACUCCUCCCACCUUCCUCCAAUUCAUAAUACACUUUAAAAAUACUGUUCUGUCAAAUCUCUUACACUUGGAUUUUUAAUAUCUUCCAUUGCAUAUUAUUAUAAUUGUAUUUAUCUAGUUGUAAAUCCAAAUUUUGGAUUAAUAAAUGAAAUGAACCAUGAAACGAAAUAUCCAUUGGAGGUUUGAAAAAGGAACGCCUUCAUAUAUUCAAAGUGUAAACAUUCAUUUAAAACAUUUAAAUAAAGUUCUAUUGUUUUAAACUGGGUUGAUAUAGAGCAAGUGCUCCUUAUUAUAUUCCAAAAUAAAGAAGCAAAUGACGCCUUAAGAAAAAUGAUAUCAAAGCUUUUCGUAAUUUCUCCCAAAAGGAGACUUGGGUUUCAGCAGCCUGCUCCUUGUAUAAUAAUGACUGGCAGAACUUGUGAGUGUGAAGUUUCCAAAAGUCCUUUUUAAUGACACUGCUUAAUGACACAAUGAAAUUUCACAUGGCAAGACGAACACUCAGGGUUAUGAAACUGGAUCGCAGGGCAGACUUUACUGUACUUUCGCAUGUCAAGAAACAAGCAUCAGAUCAGUGGAUUUGCCAAAUGACAAGAGCCUGACCUAGGCUUUUUGGAUUUCUGCCAGUUUUGCCAUCAAAAGAGGCCCAGUGCUUGAGUUGAACUAGGUGGGAUAGCUUGUUAUGCAAAAGCAUUUAUCAGGUUUUAUAAGUGAGACAGGAGGUCGGUAUUGAUGCCCACUAGUAUAAUGAACAUUUAUCUUUUAUGAGAAACUCCAACCUUUGUCUAAAGAAAUGGCCACAUUUCUUCUGCUAGUUCUUCGAAUCAAAGCAUUCUCUCUCACAGUUGAAUCAAGAGUUCAAACAAUUAUUAGAUUGGAAAGUGAAACGGGACAACUCAAAAAUAAGUUAAAGCUUUUUGUAUAUUCAAAGGAUUCCUUAGGUAUGCAAAAAUGUAAGUUCUGUGUAAUUUAAACACAAUAUACAGUUUUAAAAAACAGAAUAG